rnacentral:rRNA from 2 species
GGACUACCAGGGUUUCUAAUCCUGUUUGCUCCCCACGCUUUCGUGCCUCAGCGUCAGUAUCGUCCCAGGGGGCUGCCUUCGCCAUCGGUGUUCCUCCACAUCUCUACGCAUUUCACUGCUACACGUGGAAUUCCACCCCCCUCUUACGUACUCUAGUCUUACAGUUUCCAAUGCAGUUCCCAGGUUAAGCCCGGGGAUUUCACAUCAGACUUGUAAAACCGCCUACACACCCUUUACGCCCAGUCAUUCCGAUUAACGCUUGCACCCUACGUAUUACCGCGGCUGCUGGCAC